GAUGAACGCUGGCGGCGUGCCUAAUACAUGCAAGUCGAGCGAACGGACGAGAAGCUUGCUUCUCUGAUGUUAGCGGCGGACGGGUGAGUAACACGUGGAUAACCUACCUAUAAGACUGGGAUAACUUCGGGAAACCGGAGCUAAUACCGGAUAAUCUUUUGAACCGCAUGGUUCAAAAGUAAAAGACGGUCUUGCUGUCACUUAUAGCUGGAUACGCGCUGCGUUAGCUAGUUGGUAAGGUAACGGCUUAUCACGGGAAUGGUGCAUAACCGAGGGGAGGGGGGGAUGGGCGACACAGAAGGUGAGAGGCGGCCCAGGGUCCGAGGGGAGGCAGCAGCAGGGAAGCGUGGGCAAUGUGCGAAAGCCUGACGGAGCAACGGAGCGGGAGUGAAGAAGGGCUGCGGAUCGUAAAACGCUGUUAUUAGGGUAGAACAUAUGUGUAAGUAACUGUGCACAUCUGGACGGUAUCGAAUCAGAAAGCCACGGCUAACUACGU
rnacentral:rRNA from 1 species